rnacentral:rRNA from 1 species
AGAGUUUGAUCCUGGCUCAGAAGGAACGCUGGCAGCGUGCAUAACACAUGCAAGUCGAACGGGAUUAUUAUCUUCGGAUGAUAUGAGAGUGGCGAACGGGUGAGUAACACGUAAGAAUCUACCUUUAGGACGGGGAUAACUUCUGGAAACGGAUGCUAAUACCCGAUAUGCUGUGGAGUGAAAGGAAUUUCGCCUAAAGAUGAUCUUGCGUCUGAUUAGCUAGAUAGUGUGGUAACGGCGCACUAUGGCGACGAUCUGUAGCUGGUCUGAGAGGAUGGACAGCCACAUUGGAACUGAGACACGGUCCAAACUCCUACGGGAGGCAGCAGUGGGGAAUUUUCCGCAAUGGGCGAAAGCCUGACGGAGCGACGCUGCGUGAAGGAUGACGGCCUGCGGGUUGUAAACUUCUUUUCUCGAAGAAGAAUAAAUGACGGUAUUCGAGGAAUAAGCAUCGGCUAACUCUGUGCCAGCAGCCGCGGU